GGGGAAUAUUGCACAAUGGGCGAAAGCCUGAUGCAGCAACGCCGCGUGAGCGAUGAAGGCCUUCGGGUCGUAAAGCUCUGUCCUAUGGGAAGAUAAUGACGGUACCAUAGGAGGAAGCCCCGGCUAACUACGUGCCAGCAGCCGCGGUAAUACGUAGGGGGCAAGCGUUAUCCGGAAUUACUGGGCGUAAAGGGUGCGUAGGCGGUUUAUCAAGUCAGGGGUGAAAGGCUACGGCUCAACCGUAGUGAGCCUCUGAAACUGGUGAACUUGAGUGUAGGAGAGGAAAGUGGAAUUCCUAGUGUAGCGGUGAAAUGCGUAGAUAUUGGGAGGAACACCAGUGGCGAAGGCGGCUCUCUGGACCGAUACUGACGCUGAGACGCGAAAGCGUGGGUAGCAAAC
rnacentral:rRNA from 1 species